AAAGCAGCCACCAGGAAGAAACUAGAGAAGAUUCACUCAUUGUUGCCACAAAGACACCUCUCCCCUUCCCACUCCCUCUCCAUGCUCAUUCCUCCAACAGUGCUACAAAGACGUGCAGUCUGCGCCGGGAGUUGCUGAGCCCAAGCCGUGGGCUCCGCAACUCCGCGGGGGCCGUGCCAGGAGACCCGGGGCUCGGAGCCCUCCGACAGUAGGUGUGCAGUUGUCUUGGAGGGAUUCAGGAGUGAUGCAGUGUUACAGCAGAGUGGCCCUGCAGUCCUUGUUCUGCAGAGAAGACUGGAGACUCAUCUUCAGGCUCAAGGUCUUUGAGAAAAUGCCCUGCGCCAACAUCAAUUAUGUCCAGGGUAGAGCUGAUAUAUGUCAUCAGACACAG